rnacentral:rRNA from 1 species
UGGUAGUCCACGCCGUAAACGAUGUCGACUUGGAGGUUGUGCCCUUGAGGCGUGGCUUCCGGAGCUAACGCGUUAAGUCGACCGCCUGGGGAGUACGGCCGCAAGGUUAAAACUCAAAUGAAUUGACGGGGGCCCGCACAAGCGGUGGAGCAUGUGGUUUAAUUCGAUGCAACGCGAAGAACCUUACCUACUCUUGACAUCCAGAGAACUUAGCAGAGAUGCUUUGGUGCCUUCGGGAACUCUGAGACAGGUGCUGCAUGGCUGUCGUCAGCUCGUGUUGUGAAAUGUUGGGUUAAGUCCCGCAACGAGCGCAACCCUUAUCCUUUGUUGCCAGCGGUUCGGCCGGGAACUCAAAGGAGACUGCCAGUGAUAAACUGGAGGAAGGUGGGGAUGACGUCAAGUCAUCAUGGCCCUUACGAGUAGGGCUACACACGUGCUACAAUGGCAUAUACAAAGAGAAGCGACCUCGCGAGAGCAAGCGGACCUCAUAAAGUAUGUCGUAGUCCGGAUUGGAGUCUGCAACUCGACUCCAUGAAGUCGGAAUCGCUAGUAAUCGUAGAUCAGAAUGCUACGGUGAAUACGUUCCCGGGCCUUGUACACACCGCCCGUCACACCAUGGGAGUGGGUUGCAAAAGAAGUAGGUAGCUUA